AGAUCGUACAACCAACGUGGUAAUGCUGGCAUAAUAAUUCCCGGUUGCCAUUUUCUGACAUUUGAAAAGAUCUGAAGAUACGCCCCUUGGAUGCCUGCAGAGAAGCUCUGGGGCUUCAGUCAAUGACUCAGGGUAGCCACCGAACAUGAUGCUCGGGCAGUGGGUGCCACCUGGACUCCACUCUCCCCUCUCUCUGGGAUCAUAGAGUCCAAGGUGUUCUGUGGCCUCUCGGCCAAUCCCAGCAGCUCAGCGUGCAGAAGACCGAGGAGCCAUUGGAAUUCAACACAACACGAAAUAAUCAACAAAUUCGGGGAAUGUUAAUCUGACCAUCACCAGUUACAAAUGAUGUUUCAUGCUACCUUCUAUUCCUGCCUUCAUAAAUCAAGGUAAUUACUUGGCAAUCUGGCUAUGCCUUGUAAGGCAAAAGAGCUGUUCAUUUCUUGUGUCAAAUGGUGAACAGGGAGGGAGAGUAAAAUGGUAAAUAACCCUGCCUCCCAUCUGUGCCCAAUCAGCUCUAAAUCUCCAGGAAAAAAUGUGCUCAGGAUGGCCAGAGAAAUGUCCUUCCAACUGUGCAUGGAAAGGUAUGAUUUUGUGCAGCAGGUGAAGGACUGGUUAGAGUAAGUGUGUGCUGAGCUUUUGUGUUUGAAAGCGAGCCUGUGCACUUCUAACGAUUGGAAGGUUUCCUUGCCUUCUCCGAUCUUACACACAGCAAGGACAGCAAAGCCUUCCAGACCUGCCUGUGACAUGCACUGCACAUUCUAAAGAUGCCUAUGCAAUGGAAAACACCACUGUCUGCUCCAGCACAGCUGCCAUUCUUCCAUCUUAUCGACCUUAAUGCAACAACUCCUCACAGGCAGAGAUUUUAAAAUGUGUUCUUGGCAGAAGAGAGACUCAAAGAUGGGACAAAUGUGUCAUUUAAAUGCCUGUUAAAAUGGAAACAGACAUAGUAUAGUCAGAGGAUUGUGGCAGCUAAGAACAUAGUCUCUGGAGCAAAUCUGCAUGGGUGGCAAUGCCAAGCACAUGAGGUCCUAGUUGUAUGAACUUAGGAAAAGAAAAAGAGAACAUAUAUCCCCCUACCUUUUGAUUUCCAACAGUCUACUGAGAGGCCAAGAUUAUUUGCAGGGAAAGAAAAGGGGUCAAAAUGUUUUGCCAGUAACUCCCAAAUCAUCUACAGCCAAGGAGAAAAGUGUUUCAAGACAGAGGUGCUCAAUGGUAUCAAAUACUGCCAACAGACCAAGUAAUACAUGCAUUGAAGUGUCUACUGGAUCUAGCUAUAUGAAUUUUUAAUUUAGGACACUUAGGCCAUACUGAAGCAAGGUGACAAAAUGAAUAGCUACAAUGUCUCGUGAAUCUUGGGUUUCCAUUCACCCUGGUAUUCAAGAGAAAUUCUUGCAUCAUGGAAGUUGCAGUUGGAUAGGACUUUCUCAGCUGAACACUGUCAUCUGCCAGAGCUUCAGGCAAGAACCCAGAACAGAUGAAACCCCAGACAUGACAAAAUAAGCCAAAGAAUACCAGGCCAAGGUGUGAAAGGCCAGAUGAGAACAAGCAGCGUACACGAUUCUGUUGCCAACAGAUCUCCCCUAACAGUGUCGUGCACCAAAUUUCCACAGUGAAUGUCAGGAAAAAAUGGCAAUUGAGGUGGGUGGUCAAAAGAGAAGCACAGUCUAUGAUGAAGUCACCCCAGAGAAGUCCUUUUUCCGUUUUCUCCUGAGAAAUUACCAGAAGAAAUUAAAAUCCUUUUGAGUAUUGCAU
rnacentral:lncRNA from 1 species